CAAGGAAGGACAGAAUGAGGCUCCCCUCCACUGUUUUCUGAGCAAAUGAUUUCUGGCGGCCAUGGAAAAGAAACGACAACAGGUGAGAGCUACGAGUGCAGUCGCGAGUGUUAACCUUCUCCGUGACUAGGAACUCCUGAGACGAUUCGAUCACGUACGCGAUCAAGCCUGAAAUCAUGGCAAGUUGAGGUAUGGCAUUCGAUUCGUCCACACACAUACCCACGAGAACGCCGAUGCAAAUCGUGAUGCUCCACUUGGCCAACGUCGCCCCCGUGUAGCUGUGCUGCUGAGAUAAGACAAUAAGACGAGAGGGGGUUUCUUUACCCGUAGAGGCGCCGAUUUUGCUUGAUCGUGGUUGUCUUGGCG
rnacentral:lncRNA from 1 species